rnacentral:rRNA from 1 species
UACGUAGGGUGCGAGCGUUGUCCGGAAUUACUGGGCGUAAAGAGCUCGUAGGUGGUUUGUCGCGUUGUUCGUGAAAACCGGGGGCUUAACCCUCGGCGUGCGGGCGAUACGGGCAGACUUGAGUACUGCAGGGGAGACUGGAAUUCCCUGGUGUAGCGGUGGAAUGCGCAGAUAUCAGGAGGAACACCGGUGGCGAAGGCGGGUCUCUGGGCCGAUACUGACGCUGAGGAGCGAAAGCGUGGGGAGCGAACAGG